GUUAGGAAUAUUGGACAAUGGGGGAAACCCUGAUCCAGCAAUGCCGCGUGAGUGAUGAAGGCCUUAGGGUUGUAAAGCUCUUUUACCAGGGAUGAUAAUGACAGUACCUGGAGAAUAAGCUCCGGCUAACUCCGUGCCAGCAGCCGCGGUAAUACGGAGGGAGCUAGCGUUGUUCGGAAUUACUGGGCGUAAAGCGCACGUAGGCGGUUACUCAAGUCAGAGGUGAAAGCCCGGGGCUCAACCCCGGAACUGCCUUUGAAACUAGGUAACUAGAAUCUUGGAGAGGUCAGUGGAAUUCCGAGUGUAGAGGUGAAAUUCGUAGAUAUUCGGAAGAACACCAGUGGCGAAGGCGACUGACUGGACAAGUAUUGACGCUGAGGUGCGAAAGCGUGGGGAGCAAACAGGAUUAGAUACCCUUGUAGUCC
rnacentral:rRNA from 1 species